GGAAUUCAUUUAUAUCUAUCAAGUUGUUGAAUUACAGUUGCCAACUUGCCAUUAUGAUCAUGCAUGCUAAAUCUAUCUAUUAAUAUAUAAUAAGCAACUAGUGCAUGCUUAUUUGCUUGAGAAGUGUACAUGUCCCUUACAUGACAAGUGUAUAGCUUAUUUAAUUGCCAGAUGACAGCAUGAGAGGUCGACAAAUAGAAGAGCAAGAUAAAUGGAUAAAAAGGUCUUUGCAAUGUAGAUAAUUCCAAACUAUUCGAAGCAUUCAAAAUAUUACACAGUAGAUCUUCAUUCUCUUUAAAUAGGUUUUCCCACACUCUUACCAGGUUACCAUUUGAUAAAAGAAACCUUUACUUUACCACUUUUUGGUCAUCAAAAGCUUCUUUGUACCUGAAAAAAUGGAAGAACAAUAUGAUUUAGUAAUUGACGUGAAUCCCAGAAAGCUACAAUAACAUUUCAAAGUGUAUGUUGUUAGAAUAUGAAAAGUUCCAAGCAAGUACAAUGAGAGAGAGAUCGGUUCGAUUGAAAUGAUUCUACGAGAUAUUAAGACCUCAUUGGCGAGAUUGUUGGUAAGAAAGAUCUUAGAAAUCUGAUUACUAGCAAAGGGAGGAAGGUCAAGCGGCUGGUCGUCAUUCUUCAAGACCUUGAGGUUUGCCUGGCUACAACAACUCGGUCGAUAUUUUGGGGUUGUGAUUAAUCUUACGAGCGAUACUGAUACUUAUCUUAUUGUGAGGAUUCUAUUGAAGAGACUGCUUCCAACCUCAAUUCAAAACACUUGCUAAAAGAACUUCCAGUGGUGUAAAGACUGCUAACACCAAUGUGAACAAUAAGGAAGAGCAGAAUUUCACUAAUAAGCUCAGCUGCAAGGGGUUGAAAAAGUUGAAAUUUCAUCUUAAUAAUUGUGAUAAUUAAUAUGCUAAACCAAGAUUAGUAUCAAUAGUUACUCUACCUUUUGUUAGGUUAUUUAUCAUAAGAUUUCUAGAGUGAAUAUUGGAUUUCAAACUAUAUUAGUAAUUAGUGAUGGGCAGAGUAUCCAAAUAUAUAUUUUAAAACUUAUUUUGUGAACUAUGUUAUGUUAUAUGGUAAUGAAAUUUUAGUAAAAUAUGGUCAUAUUAUUUGUUAUACUAUUAAAUUGAUCUGACACAUGAUAUUAUUUCCACUUUGAUUAUUGUGAAUUAAGAUAAUCACAAUUAUUCAAAUUUUACAAAAAAAAAUUAUAUAAUCAAGCACAUCACAAGAAUUACAAGAAUAAAGUAUGAUACAAUUCACAAUAAAUAAAUUUUUUUAACUUAGAGAACUGUGUCUUAUAUGCAGAGGCUUUAACUUAGAAAAACAAUAAUGUUUAAGUACCCUCCUCCUUUAUCCGGAUUUGGGACCGACUAUGUACUGCAAGCGUAAAAGAUGAUUGAAUCACGUCUUAGGUGGUUUGGACAUGUGAGAAGAAGACCGAUAGAAUAUUCAGUCAGGAGAGUGGAUGAGAUGGAAGAUGGACAAGGGGCGAAAGGCAGAGGAAGACCUAAGAAGACCAUCCAUGAGGUGGUCAAACGAGAUCUACAUGUAAACGGUCUCUCUGUAAACAUGAUACAUGACCGAGCACAAUGGCGUCAUUUGAUUCAUAUAGCCGACCUCACUUAGUGGAACAAGGCUUUGUUGUUGUUGUAUUUAAA